GAUCCCUUAUAAGGGAAUACCCGUAAAGAAAAAAAAAUUCGCUUUAAGAUGUCUUAUUAUAUCUCGGAUUGUAGUAGUUAAGGUAAUUGCUUAACUAGAUUAAUAUCCGUAGCCAAGACUGAAAGGUCGAUUGGCCACAGUGUGGCCUGAACAAAGCCCACGGUUUUUACUACAGCAGUGAUGAAUAUUGGUCAAUAGCCUAACGGCUGAACCAGCAACUUGGAGGAAUGUAUAACGUAAGUUUGUUGUAUAAAUUAUUAGUUUAUGCAGCUUUGGCCCUGCUAAGUAAAGUUCUAAGUAGAAUGAUGAUAAUGACGUUUUCUAUCGAAAAAAAUAGUCUUGACCAAAUCACGUGCCAGCAGUCGCGGUAAUACGUGGAAGACUAGUGUUAUUCAUAAUUAAUUGGUUUAAAGGGUACCUAGACGGUUUAUACAGCCCAAAAUGGAACUAAUAAACUAGAGUUUAAUGCGAGGGGGGGAGUACUAAAGAGUGUAGAGAUGAAAUUCUGUCAUACCUGCCUUGGAACAGGUAACAGCGAAAGCAACCUCUUAUGUAAAAACUGACGUUGAAGGACGAAGGCUUGGGACACCAACAGGAUUAGGUACCCCAGCAGUCCUUGCAGACAAUGAUGAAUGUCAUAGAUUGGAGAUACAGAUAUCUUUUUUCUAUAUAGAAAAAAGAUAUUUUCUUUUUUUGUCUAUAAAUGAAAGUGUAAGCAUUCCACCUCAAGAGUAAUGUGGCAACGCAGAAACUGAAAUCAUUAGACCGUACCUGAAACCAGUAGUGAAGUAUGUUGUUUAAUUUGAUGAUCCUCAAAACACCUUACCACAAUUUGAAUAUUUUUUUUUUAACAAGCGUUGCACGGCUGUCUUCAGUUAAUGUCGUGAGAUUUUGGUUAGUUCCAUAAAAUUAACGUAAACCCUUGUUUUAUUUAUUAUAAAGCAGUUCCCCACUAUAUUGGAUAUGAUAAUA
rnacentral:rRNA from 1 species